UAGAAUUGACGGGGGCCCGCACAAGCGGUGGAGCAUGUGGUUAAUUCGAAGCAACGCGAAGAACCUUACCAGGUCUUGACAUCCCGAUGCUAUUUCUAGAGAUAGAAAGUUACUUCGGUACAUCGGUGACAGGUGGUGCAUGGUUGUCGUCAGCUCGUGUCGUGAGAUGUUGGGUUAAGUCCCGCAACGAGCGCAACCCCUAUUGUUAGUUGCCAUCAUUCAGUUGGGCACUCUAGCGAGACUGCCGGUAAUAAACCGGAGGAAGGUGGGGAUGACGUCAAAUCAUCAUGCCCCUUAUGACCUGGGCUACACACGUGCUACAAUGGUUGGUACAACGAGUUGCGAGUCGGUGACGGCGAGCUAAUCUCUUAAAGCCAAUCUCAGUUCGGAUUGUAGGCUGCAACUCGCCUACAUGAAGUCGGAAUCGCUAGUAAUCGCGGAUCAGCACGCCGCGGUGAAUACGUUCCCGGGCCUU
rnacentral:rRNA from 1 species